GGAUGGAGAGAGGUGGGGAUAUAGGGAUGGAGAGAGGUGGGGAUAGAGGGAUGGAGAGAGGUGGGGAUAGAGGGAUGGAGAGAGAUGGGGAUAGAGGGAUGGAGAGAGGUGUAGAUACAGGGAUGGAGAGAGGUGGGGAUAUAGGGAUGAGAGAGGUGGGGUACAUGGAUGGAGAGAGGUUGGGAUAUAGGGAUGGAGAGAGGUGUAGAUAUAGGGAUGGAGAGAGGUAGGGAUAUAGGGAUGGAGAGAGGUGGGGAUAUAGGGAUGGAGAGAGGUGUAGAUACAGGGAUGGAGAGAGGUGGGGAUAUAGGGAUGGAGAGAGGUGUAGAUAUAGGGAUGGAGAGAGGUGUAGAUACAGGGAUGGAGAGGUGGGG
ensembl:lncRNA